UCGGUUAAUACCCGUGGACGAUGACAUUAGCUGCAGAAUAAGCACCGGCUAACUCUGUGCCAGCAGCCGCGGUAAUACAGAGGGUGCAAGCGUUAAUCGGAAUUACUGGGCGUAAAGCGAGCGUAGGUGGCUUGAUAAGUCAGAUGUGAAAUCCCCGGGCUUAACCUGGGAACUGCAUCUGAAACUGUUAGGCUAGAGUAGGUGAGAGGAAGGUAGAAUUCCAGGUGUAGCGGUGAAAUGCGUAGAGAUCUGGAGGAAUACCGAUGGCGAAGGCAGCCUUCUGGCAUCAUACUGACACUGAGGCUCGAAAGCGUGGGUAGCAAACAGGAUUAGAUACCCUGGUAGUCCACGCCGUAAACGAUGUCUACUAGUCGUUGGGUCCCUUGAGGACUUAGUGACGCAGCUAACGCAAUAAGUAGACCGCCUGGGGAGUACGGCCGCAAGGUUAAAACUCAAAUGAAUUGACGGGGGCCCGCACAAGCGGUGGAGCAUGUGGUUUAAUUCGAUGCAACGCGAAGAACCUUACCUGGUCUUGACAUAUCUAGAAUCCUGCAGAGAUGCGGGAGUGCCUUCGGGAAUUAGAAUACAGGUGCUGCAUGGCUGUCGUCAGCUCGUGUCGUGAGAUGUUGGGUUAAGUCCCGCAACGAGCGCAACCCUUGUCCUUAGUUACCAGCGGGUUAAGCCGGGAACUCUAGGGAUACUGCCAGUGACAAACUGGAGGAAGGCGGGGACGACGUCAAGUCAUCAUGGCCCUUACGACCAGGGCUACACACGUGCUACAAUGGUAGGUACAGAGGGCAGCUACACAGCGAUGUGAUGCGAAUCUCAAAAAGCCUAUCGUAGUCCAGAUUGGAGUCUGCAACUCGACUCCAUGAAGUAGGAAUCGCUAGUAAUCGCGGAUCAGAAUGCCGCGGUGAAUAUGUUCCCGGGCCUUGCACACACCGCCCGUC
rnacentral:rRNA from 1 species